UGACAAGUCCUAUCCAGAGGUGGCAAGGAUAACUGCUGAUCCCAAAUAUCUACUUUUCGUCUGAUAAAGCCAUUCGGAUGUUUGCAGUUUGAAUUUGGCUUACACCUAGAAUUUCCCAAAUCAAAUAUUUAAAAGUCUUGGGUCACAAGUUCGACCCUGAAUCUCUGGAAAACACUGAGUCAUAGGCGGAUCGAUCUAACUAGAUUGUGCGCUUAAGGUAUUGGCUGUUCUAGAAAAGUGUUAACAGUUCAUUGAGGUCAUUUUUAUGUCUCCUUCUUCACUCAGGAACAUUGAGAACAUUAUACUUACUUUUUAAUUUUGUUCCCCAAGUCAUGGCACAAAAUCACUCUCCCAUUUCAAUUCCUUUCAUUACUGCAGCGUCGAUAGUUAAGAGAGAACAAAUUUUCAAAAACGGGCAUAACUGUGCCGAUCCUUGCCCAGCGCUUGUGGCCCAGAGGCAUAUAUCAAACACUGACAGAACUCUCUGCACAUUGAUGACUGUUGUAUGAUACAAAAAGAAGAAACAAGCCUUCGAGGAGCUUGCCGUAAACAUAUCUAAGUGAGGGAGACAGGGGCUGGCGCCGGAAGGGGAAGAUCAGCUCAUCGCAGUCACACCGCAGGGCUCUGAUCUCUGAAACCCCAAGUCUGGGGGGAAGGCUUAGGAGAAAAUCCCAUCUUCAGACCCUUCCCAUUUAGAGGCUUAUUCUAAGGUGAGAGUAGCAGGGGAAGGAAAGACAUGGGACGCAACCCUGGCUCAUUUGCAAUCAGCUGCCUUUCAUGGUCCACAGAGGGUCACCGCCAUCUGAAUGGGCAUCUCUGGCCCUAUCUCGGAUUUGGUUUCAGAGGCCCAAGCCCUGUGGAAUUCCGCUCCCCGUGGGCCCUUCCCUUCCCGAUAGGUGUGGGACUUGCACACCACUGUAGGGUUCCAGCCUCCCCGAGGAACGCUGGAGCUUGCCUGCAAGAACAGCGAUGGGAAUGGUUGUUUUAAGUGGAGUUUACUGUUGUUGUAUAAACCUUCAUUUAAAAUUGACUAUAAAAUGUUUCUGAACCUGCCAAACACACAUUAAAAUAUUUUGC
rnacentral:lncRNA from 1 species